rnacentral:ncRNA from 1 species
AAAAGGGCAAUGAAAAAGAGGAGUAGAAAAGGGUAGCCUUUGCAGAGAGCCGGGAUUGCUGGGAACCGGCAGGCGAGCUUUUCGAAGGCGCUUGGGAGCCGUCAGGAGGAACGCCUGUAAGGUUAGUAAAGCCUGAAUCCUUGAGGUGGGCAUUAAGCCAAUCAGGGUGGAACCGCGGGUUAUCCCGUCCCUGUU